rnacentral:rRNA from 1 species
CAGUCGCCGCGGUAAUACGUAGGUGGCAAGCGUUGUCCGGAAUUAUUGGGCGUAAAGGGCUCGCAGGCGGUUUCUUAAGUCUAAUGUGAAAGCCCCCGGCUCAACCGGGGAGGGCCAUUGGAAACUGGGAAACUUGAGUGCAGAAGAGGAGAGUGGAAUUCCACGUGUAGCGGUGAAAUGCGUAGAGAUGUGGAGGAACACCAGUGGCGAAGGCGACUCUCUGGUCUGUAACUGAUGCUGAGGAGCGAAAGCGUGGGGAGCGAACAGGAUUAGAUACCCGUGUAGUCCCUGUCUCUUAUAC